AUUGAACGCUAGCGGGAUGCUUUACACAUGCAAGUCGAACGGCAGCGCGGACUUCGGUCUGGCGGCGAGUGGCGAACGGGUGAGUAAUGUAUCGGAACGUGCCCAGUAGCGGGGGAUAACUACGCGAAAGCGUAGCUAAUACCGCAUACGCCCUACGGGGGAAAGCAGGGGAUCGUAAGACCUUGCACUAUUGGAGCGGCCGAUAUCGGAUUAGCUAGUUGGUGAGGUAACGGCUCACCAAGGCGACGAUCCGUAGCUGGUUUGAGAGGACGACCAGCCACACUGGGACUGAGACACGGCCCAGACUCCUACGGGAGGCAGCAGUGGGGAAUUUUGGACAAUAGGGGCAACCCUGAUCCAGCCAUCCCGCGUGUGCGAUGAAGGCCUUCGGGUUGUAAAGCACUUUUGGCAGGAAAGAAACGUCGCGGGCUAAUACCCCGUGGAACUGACGGUACCUGCAGAAUAAGCACCGGCUAACUACGUG
rnacentral:rRNA from 1 species